CCUACGGGAGACAGCAGUGAGGAAUAUUGGUCCAUGGGCGCGAGCCUGCACCAGCCAAGUCGCGUGAGGGAUGACGGCCCUACGGGUUGUACACCUCUUUUUCCGGGGAGCAACGGGCGCCACGUGUGGCGCCACUGAGAGUCCCCGGAGAAAAAGCAUCGGCUAACUCCGUGCCAUCUGCCGCGGUUAUACGGAGGAUGCCAGCGUUAUCCGGAUUUAUUGGGGUUAAAGGGUGCGUAGGCGGAUCGUUAAGUCAGUGGUCAAAUUGAGGGGCUCAACCCCUUCCCGCCAUUGAAACUGGCGCUCUUGAGUGGAAGAGAAGUAUGCGGAAUGCGUGGUGUAGCGGUGAAAUGCAUAGAUAUCACGCAGAACCCCGAUUGCGAAGGCAGCAUGCCGGCUUCCGACUGACGCUGAAGCACGAAAGCGUGGGGAUCGAACAGGAUUAGAUACACGAGUAGUC
rnacentral:rRNA from 1 species